rnacentral:rRNA from 1 species
UACGAAGGUCCCGAGCGUUGUUCGGAAUCACUGGGCGUAAAGGGAGCGUAGGCGGCAUGGUAAGUCAGAUGUGAAAUCCCGGGGCUCAACCCCGGAACUGCAUCCGAUACUGCCUUGCUUGAGGGUUGGAGAGGUGACUGGAAUUCUCGGUGUAGCAGUGAAAUGCGUGGAUAUCGAGAGGAACACUCGUGGCGAAGGCGAGUCACUGGGCCUGUACUGACGCUGAGGAGCGAAAGCGUGGGGAGCGAACAGG